rnacentral:tRNA from 1 species
GCGCCCGUAGCUCAAUGGAUAGAGCACUGCCCUCCGAAGGCAGGGGUUGCUGGUUCGAUCCCAGCCGGGCGCG